rnacentral:rRNA from 1 species
GUAGGGUGCGAGCGUUGUCCGGAAUUACUGGGCGUAAAGGGCUCGUAGGUGGUUUGUCGCGUCGUCUGUGAAAUUCCGGGGCUUAACUCCGGGCGUGCAGGCGAUACGGGCAUAACUUGAGUACUGUAGGGGUAACUGGAAUUCCUGGUGUAGCGGUGAAAUGCGCAGAUAUCAGGAGGAACACCGAUGGCGAAGGCAGGUUACUGGGCAGUUACUGACGCUGAGGAGCGAAAGCAUGGGUAGCGAACAGGAUUAGAUACCCUGGUAGUCCAUGCCGUAAACGCUGGGCGCUAGGUGUGAGGGUCUUUUCACGACUUUCGUGCCGUAGCUAACGCAUUAAGCGCCCCGCCUGGGGAGUACGGCCGCAAGGCUA